rnacentral:rRNA from 1 species
UACGUAGGGCGCAAGCGUUGUCCAGAAUUAUUGGGCGUAAAGAGCUCGUAGGCGGCUUGUCACGUCGGGUGUGGAAGCCCGGGGCUUAACCCCGGGUCUGCAUUCGAUACGGGCAGGCUAGAGUGUGGUAGGGGAGAUCGGAAUUCCUGGUGUAGCGGUGAAAUGCGCAGAUAUCAGGAGGAACACCGGUGGCGAAGGCGGAUCUCUGGGCCAUUACUGACGCUGAGGAGCGAAAGCGUGGGGAGCGAACAGG